AGUGAACGCUGGCGGUAGGCCUAACACAUGCAAGUCGAACGGCAGCACAGUAAGAGCUUGCUCUUACGGGUGUCGAGUGGCGGACGGGUGAGGAAUACAUCGGAAUCUACUUUUUCGUGGGGGAUAACGUAGGGAAACUUACGCUAAUACCGCAUACGACCUACGGGUGAAAGCAGGGGAUCUUCGGACCUUGCGCGAUUGAAUGAGCCGAUGUCGGAUUAGCUAGUUGGCGGGGUAAAGGCCCACCAAGGCGACGAUCCGUAGCUGGUCUGAGAGGAUGAUCAGGCACACUGGAACUGAGACACGGCCCAGACCCCGACGGGAGGCACCAGUGGGGAAUAUUGGCCAACGGGCGCAAGCCUGAUCCAGCCAUACCGCGUGGGUGACGAAGGCCUUCGGGUUGUAAAGCCCUUUUGUUGGGAAAGAAAAGCAGCAGGUGAUUACCCCGCUGUUCUGACGGUACCCAAAGAAUAAGCACCGGCUAACUUCGUG
rnacentral:rRNA from 1 species